AAACAAUUAACCCCGAAUGGCGGGAUCGCCCUCCGGAGGCGAAGGUCAUAGGUUCGACUCCUAUAGGGUGCGCCA
rnacentral:tRNA from 1 species